AGCAGCCGCGGUAAUUCCAGCUCCAAUAGCGUAUAUUAAAGUUGUUGCAGUUAAAAAGCUCGUAGUUGAAUUUCGGAAUCAAUAUAUCGGUCGUGCCUUGGUACGUACUGGUAUCAUUGGUUUCUCCUUUCUGACGAACCAUGAUGUCAUUAAUUUGGUGUUAUGGGAAGUUAGGACUGUUACUUUGAAAAAAUUAGAGUGUUUAAAGCAGGCUUUAGCUUGAAUACAUUAGCAUGGAAUAAUGAAAUAGGACGUUCGAACCUAUUUUGUUGGUUUUUAGGAUCAACGUAAUGAUUAAUAGGGAUAGUUGGGGGCAUUAGUAUUCAAUUGUCAGAGGUGAAAUUCUUGGAUUUAUUGAAGACUAACUACUGCGAAAGCAUUUGCCAAGGAUGUUUUCAUUAAUCAAGAACGAAAGUUAGGGGAUCGAAGACGAUCAGAUACCGUCGUAGUCUUAACCAUAAACUAUGCCGACUAGGGAUCGGAUGAUGUUAAUUUUUUAAUGACUCAUUCGGCGCCUUACG
rnacentral:rRNA from 1 species